GUUGAACGCUGGCGGCAUGCCUUACACAUGCAAGUCGAACGGCAGCACGGGUGCUUGCACCUGGUGGCGAGUGGCGAACGGGUGAGUAAUAUAUCGGAACGUGCCCUAGAGUGGGGGAUAACGUAGCGAAAGUUACGCUAAUACCGCAUACGAUCUACGGAUGAAAGUGGGGGAUCGCAAGACCUCAUGCUCCUGGAGCGGCCGAUAUCUGAUUAGCUAGUUGGUGGGGUAAAAGCCUACCAAGGCGACGAUCAGUAGCUGGUCUGAGAGGACGACCAGCCACGCUGGUACUGAGGCACGGCCCAGACUCCUACGGGAGGCAGCAGUGGGUAAUUUUGGACAAUGGGGGAAACCCUGAUCCAGCAAUGCCGCGUGUGUGAAGAAGGCCUUCGGGUUGUAAAGCACUUUUGUCGGGGAAGAAACACCGGCUCUAACACAGUCCGGGAAUGACGGUACCUGAAGAAUAAGCACCGGCUAACUACGUGCCAGCAGCCGCCGUAA
rnacentral:rRNA from 1 species